rnacentral:tRNA from 1 species
GGUUGCUUGGCCCAAUGCCAAGGCGCUUGACUACGAAUCAAGAGAUUGCAUGUUCGAUCCCUGCCGCAAUCA